rfam:Clostridium sp. CAG:288 genomic scaffold, scf5
UCCCGUAAAAAGCAAAAUGCCAGCAAUGGUAUGACGCAAAGCUAUAGGGUCUAAGAAUAUUGCAUUAGAUAGCCAGUUACCUUA